UGGGGUUUUGCUCAUGUAAUAUGUCUCCCUGAUUAUGAACCUUAUGAAAUUUUGGAUUAUAAUUGCAACCAGACGGAGUCUCUCCACUUUCCAUCACCAUCUUCAAAAAACCUUAAUGUUUUCAGAAGAAUCCAUCUUUCAGGAAAAAUAUAAUUGCAACAAGAAUAAUGCCUCCCAAACAUAGUGUUAGAUGCUAAAAGUCUGAAGAGUGUCUUCCCCACGAAAGCGACCGCUAUAGAAAUUAGAACUACUGCUCUGUGGUGAUGUCCCGGUCUACUGUCACAGUCUGAAGUCAAGAGGUCUCAUGCAUGCACCCACCGACACCCACAUUCACCUCUUUAUAUCUUGUAAUUCAAUCCUCAAACAUGCCCUCAAUCUCCUCUCUUUCCGAAUCUACUUUUCUCUGUAUAAGUAAAAAGGUCACAAAUCUAGGAUAGAUUGAUACUUGCUAUUUACAGAAAUGUUUAUAGUUGUAAAUACAUUCAAAAGAUGAUAAGAUAACAUAAAAACAUUUAAAAGCAUUUCAAAAUUCAAGCUUAGUAUUUAUAAAAUUCAAACUAAGUUUGUUGCUGCAAUUGACGUUUAUCUUGAGAGAUACUUGGCUGAGAGAUAAUUGGAACAGUUGUAGAGUUUGUACUGGUCGCUUGUGGGGAUGUCUCAACACAUCACCGCAAACUCAAUGGUAAAGCAGUGACGGUGAGUUUGGACCGUAGCAGGACAAAACAAGGAGAAUGCAAAGGUUUCGAAGAACAUCUGCAAACUUGUCUUUUGUAGAUAGGUACUUCACGAGCAGCUGUUUGGAAGCAACUCUAUGACGGACGCAGUGAUUUCGAUAUUAAAAACAGUGAACACGGUGCUUGAUGAAAUGCCUCAACCGACGUGAGAGCAUAGGGAGUCUUUUACUGCUUUAUACAAUGAGUAUUACACCAAUACAUAAGCUAUUGUAAUAUUGUACCGUUGGAGAUUAGAGUUUAAUAACGAUACGUGUGGAAAAUGGAAAACAAAUACAAUUGACAAUAUUUGGAAAUUAGCCAUUGCAUGAUUCAAGGUUGCCAUAGAGAUGAUUGGGAGAAUCGACACUUGAUGCUUUGGAGGUAGCUUUUGUGGCAUCUACUGUGAGAUGUGGGUCUUCAUUUGGUAAGUUGCCUUCUAUGUUAUUAUGUCCCAGGGCAUGCGCGCGCGAGUCCUAAAACUUGAAUGCACGACAUUCUUCCAAAUGUCGCUGUGACAAAGUAAGAGCGGAGUGGAGGUAACCUGAAUACCCAGAUCACAAAACCAGGAAAUGCAAUUGCUCCGGGAAUGAAAGACAGGGUUAAUUGUCAUAUAAAGUGCACUAAUGUUAUCACAAAGUAAGAGUAGAGUGGAGGUAAGGUGAAUGCCCAGAUCACAAAGUAAGAAUGAUAUUUUUACUCAGCAGUUGUAUGAGCCAUUAAUUUGUACUUAGCUUCGAAGCUUGAUCAGAAAAUUGUAUGUUGUUCUUUUGUAGACCAAGAAAUGCAAUUGCUACCGAGAAAGACACAAUAGCCAGUUGUGGAACGUCUAGCAAGGGGGCACCCUGCCCGAUUUGCAUAUGAAAAGGCAUACAGAUCAAGCGUAGAGUGAGAAUUAAAAUGAAGACCAAGAUCAACAGUACCUUUUAAAUACCGAAGGAUGCACUUGAUCAUUUUAUAAUGGGCUUCAAUAGGGCAAGCGAAAAAUUGUAUGUUGUUUUUUUGUAGACCAGGAAAUGCAAUUGCUACCGAGAAAGACACAAUAGCUGGUUGUGGAACGUCUUGCAAGGGGGUACCCUGCCCAAUCUGCAUCUAAAAAGGCAUACAAAUCAAGUGUAGAAUGUGAAUUAAAAUGAAGACCAAGAUCAACAGUAUCUUUUAAAUA